rnacentral:lncRNA from 1 species
GGAAACUGAGGCACCAAUAUGUUAGCCACCUGUCUCUAUCCCAGAGCUAGGAAGUGGGAAACCAAGGCAGCCUGAGAGUAGAGAUUGAAGAAAUCCCAUCAAACAGGGCCUUGUACCUUGUCUGCACUUUUGGUGAGAACCUCUGGGUGGACAAAGGCACAAAGACCUCAAGCUGGGAGA